rnacentral:piRNA from 1 species
UUAUAACUCAAUUCAAUAUCC